AUACGUAGGGGGCGAGCGUUGUCCGGAAUGAUUGGGCGUAAAGGGCGCGUAGGCGGCCCGGUAAGUCUGGAGUGAAAGUCCUGUUUUUAAGAUGGGAAUUGCUUUGGAUACUGUCGGGCUUGAGUGCAGGAGAGGUAAGUGGAAUUCCCAGUGUAGCGGUGAAAUGCGUAGAGAUUGGGAGGAACACCAGUGGCGAAGGCGACUUACUGGACUGUAACUGACGCUGAGGCGCGAAAGUGUGGGGAGCAAACAGGAUUAGAUACCCUGGUAGUCCACACUGUAAGCGAUGAAUGCUAGGUGUAGGGGGUAUCGACCCCUUCUGUGCCGCAGUCAACACAAUAAGCACUCCGCCUGGGGAGUACGGCCGCAAGGUUGAAACUCAAAUGAAUUGGCGGGG
rnacentral:rRNA from 1 species